rnacentral:rRNA from 1 species
AUUGAACGCUGGCGGCGUGCUUAACACAUGCAAGUCGUGCGGUAACAGGCGUAGCAAUACGUGCUGACGAGCGGCGAACGGGUGCGUAAUACAUGGGAAUCUGCCUUUUAGUGGGGAAUAACCCGGCGAAAGCCGGGCUAAUGCCGCAUAAGAUCUUCGGAUGAAAGCGGGGGAUCGUAAGACCUCGCGCUGAUAGAUGAGCCCAUGCCGGAUUAGCAGUUGGUGAGGUAACGGCUCACCAAGGCGACGAUCCGUAGCUGGUCUGAGAGGACGGCCAGCCACACUGGGACUGAGACACGGCCCAGACUCCUACGGGAGGCAGCAGUGGGGAAUAUUGGACAAUGGGGAAACCCUGAUCCAGCGACGCCGCGUGUGUGAAGAAGG